AUACGGAGGAUGCGAGCGUUAUCCGGAUUUAUUGGGUUUAAAGGGAGCGUAGGUGGGUUAUUAAGUCAGCUGUGAAAGUUUGGGGCUCAACCUUAAAAUUGCAGUUGAUACUGGUUUCCUUGAGUACGGUACAGGUGGGCGGAAUUCGUGGUGUAGUGGUGAAAUGCUUAGAUAUCACGAAGAACUCCGAUCGCGAAGGCAGCUCACCGGGCCGGAACUGACGCUGAUGCUCGAAAGUGCGGGUAUCAAACAGGAUUAGAUACCCUGGUAGUCCGCACAGUAAACGAUGAAUACUCGCUGUUUGCGAUACACUGUAAGCGGCCAAGCGAAAGCGUUAAGUAUUCCACCUGGGGAGUACGCCGGCAACGGUGAAACUCAAAGGAAUUGACGGGG
rnacentral:rRNA from 1 species